rnacentral:lncRNA from 1 species
UUUUUUUUUUUUUUUUUUUUUUUUUGCUUUUCAGGGCUGUACCUGCAGCAUAUGAAAGUUCCCACGCUAGGGCUCGAAUCCAAGCCUCAGCUGCUGGCCUACGCCACAGCCACCGCAAUGCAGGACCCGAGCCGCAUCUUUCCAGCUGCAGUGUAGGAUCUUUAACCCACUGAGGGAGCCCAGGGAUCGAACCCGCAUCCUCAUGGAUACUAGUCAGCGUUGUUACUGCUGAGCCACCACGGGAACUCCAGAUCAUUCUUUACUACUUCAGAGACAGGAGGCAGCUUAAGGGAGACUUCAGAAGAACAGCCUUGCUCCAGAAUCCCUGACUGGAACAAGGGCUUGGACAGCUCGGCGGUGUGUCCCCAGCACACCAAGCCUAGGAAGUGCCCUCUUCUGGGGGCUUCCCAACAGUCCCUCCUGGGGACAGCUUUGCUCAUUGGCAUGGGGCAGGCUCACAGUGUGAGACUGGGAAAUGGGGAAAGGGCUGGGGGACCAGCCCUGUAGGUCCAAAGUCAGAGGCCCCCUGCAUGGAGCUACAUAGGAGCCUGGGAAGAGGAGUCCACAUUCUAGGCUGUCCUGGGCUUGAGCAGAAUCCCACGGACUGCCUUGGGUAUGUAACCUCUCUGAGCUCACCUGGCACAUCUGCCUAACGGGCCUCAUCAUACUUUCCUCGUAGGCUGGCCUGAAGCGUGCAUCAUCACACAGCAGCUGGCAUGCCACCCGUUACCUUCAGUUCCCUCUUCAGCAGAGGGGGAGAGGGCCAGGCAGAUGUGGGUGACAGGGAGAGAGAGAGGAGAGAAGCUCCAAGCUCAAGGGAAAGUGGGAGGAGUCCUGGUCUCCCUACCUCUGACCUCUGCCCAAAUGGUCCCUUGACAGUCUUUAAACCUUCAGAAGUUGCCCAUCAGCCAAGAGGGGCGGGGUGUGAGGGCCUAUGGCCCAAAGGUUACGAAAGGUCGCCACUAAUUAAGGCCCAUCUGAUAAUUACAGUCAGAAACCUAGUUGAUCUUCUGAACAUUCCCUCCCCAAAGGCAUGGCUACAAAAGAGACCAAGGGACAAAUGCUUGUUCACUGUCCUCCAAGACCUAGCAAAAACCCCAAGCUUCCUCCACCAGAUGCUCGCUCUUCUCUUGCCCUCAUCAUCACCUUUUCUCAUGCAGCGCUCUCGUGAAGCCAAAUGAACUUAAUUUUUUAAAAAUGUCCAUUAGAGUUGUUCCCUAAUAGAAUUCUAGCCCAGGCUCUGCCACUGUGACUUUAGGCAAGUUCCUCCAUCUCUCUGUGCUUGGAAUCUACAUUUUUAAACAUGGAUGAACUAGACCUAGGUUCCAACCUCAAGUUCCAUGGAUGGACUUUAAAAAUUGGGUAAUGCUGGCUGCAUCCCAGCAGCGAACUAGGUAGCCCAGGGGCCGCUUACCAUUGUACCAUAUUCCCUUCUGUAUCUUUCAAAUUUUGAACCAAAGGAAUGUAUGAGCUAUUCAAAAAUAGUUUAUAUUAAAAAGAAAUGUAUGCAAGUCCAUGUGUGUGUGUGGGGGGGCAGAACACCUAUACUUUCUGAAGAAGGAUCCAUCAUUUUCAUCAAUUUUUUCUAAGAUAUCUCUGACCCCAGAAAGGUUUCAAAAGCAUUUCACUAGCUGCCCUUAAGGGCCAUUCCCUGUCCCAAUUUCCUUGAUUUGACAAAGUAUAAGAGAAAAACAAAAGUGAAUUUCAGUACUCACACGUUAACAGCCUGGGCUGGAUGGAUGAACAUGAAAACGUGUCCUCGGAUCACAUUUAACAACAUAGCCGCGCCCGCCCACAUGAGCCUGGCAGGUGCAGACGUGAGUGCCGGGCUUGACACGGUGAGCUAACCUCACUGGAGUUCUCCCCUCUUAGAGCUUUCAGAGAUCAAGGUCAAAAAAUGACCGCCAUCAGCCCAGUCUCUCAAAGCUGCUGAAUUAGGUCCUCCUUGCCCCACCCCUGUGCCCACUCAAAGAAACACUCAGCUUAAAUGAGUUGCACACACAAUGCAUAUAGAUUAAAACGAUAUGGAUUUUUAAACGUUGGCCACUUUGGCUCAGAGGGGGAAGGGAAUGAGAAGGAGGAAAUGGAAGAGGUGGGGUGAUCCAGGGUGACUGCAGACGAAGAAUGACUAGACUCAUCCAGAGACCUCCGUCUGCAUCUCUGAAACCCACAAGAAUCCUCUUGCACCGAAGAGGAAAAUGAGUCCUGGGCACGCAAUGUGCGAAGCUCCAGGGUAGGGGGAAAUCUAACCGAGGGAUCAAGGCAAGACUGGUGAAGGCAAACAGUCUAGCAGCUGAAUGGGUCAGAGCAAAGAGAAAGAUCACACGGUUCCUAAAAAAGAGAAGGGGCAGCCGCCAUUUAACAAAUGGCCCCCGGCGACGGUAAACUUUAAUUAAACGCACCAUUAUAAUUCACUUCCACUCCAACCUGUCCCUUCUCCUCCCCCAGGUCUCACCAAAGCAGCUUUCCUUAGUGAAACCCAACUGGCCAGCCUGUGCUGGAUGCUUCAUUAUUACAGCUCCUGCCUCUCCCGCUAAGAAGGCAGCCAGCAACAAGAAGAGAGAGAAAACUACAGUUUUCAACUCUUAAUGACAGGCCACUUUCCUACCUACGUGCACUAAAUCAAGGGUCUCGUAAUCCUAAAAGUUCCUGAAAGUAAUACCUGAAAGCAAUGACGAGACAGUGGCAGGCCAGCAGGAACGGAUGUGCACACGGAGGCAGGUAACAGGGCCAGUUCCCACUUGGAGCCACUGGACUGUACUCCCAGCGUUCACACCAGGACGGAUCAGUCACACGUGGAAAUUAACACACACAGCUCAACGCUGUGGCUGCACCCACUGCGCCUUCAUUCAGUGGUGGUUUAAUUACACCCGUGACACCCUAUCUCUGUGUUCUCAGGCUGCUGAGCUUUGCCCAUUUUAUGAGUGUGUGCAGUGGGAGUGGGGGUUGGGAGCACCUCCGAGGAUCUUCCAGGCGAAACAUGCUUGGUUUUUAUUAAUGAGCUUAUGAGAAAAGCCAACCCAGACCUUUAAGUGAAACGUGUGAUUGGUAGCCAGGCGAGGAUAGGUUUUAGAAUUAACUCUUCUUACAGUCUGCUAUACAUUAUCACCCCCAAGUUAAUUACCCCUGAGGAUGAAAAUAGGUUUCAUGACUCAUAAGCACCAAUACAACACUUGGCAGCAGAUGAAAAUGCAAGGACACAUUUGCAGGAAGCUGACACGCACAUCUAUUUAUAUGUGGGGAGAUUCUUAAAGAGGUGAGACAGGCACCUCCCGGGUACCAGGAUUAAGAAGCUGCGGCAGAUCCAUCAACUGCCAUUUAUCUAUACCUCCAAACACACACAACGCAGUCAUAUGCUUUCCACUGCUUCAGUGAUGGUGGCAAAGCAGGAACAGAAACUAAAAGGGUGUUAUUAACAAGCAAGUCUGAACACCAACCCAACCUCUACACCGGUGUGCUGGGCUGGUUAGUGAUUUGUUUUUCCCCAAAUGCUGCUGCGCCCCUACCCACCUCCCAACCCUCCCGGCUCCCCCUUCGAUGGGAGCAGGGUGGGGGGUCGCCAAGUCUCUCCGCUCAUUUGCUAUUCCUCUGGCCCUGUGGGGACCAUCCUGGCCCACUUGCCCCGACCACAAGUGGGGUGUGGCCAAGGGAUGGAUUUCUGCUAGGAUCCAGGGUUGUGCCUUCUCCCUCCUGUGUCCUACUCUCCUUCCGUUUACCUCCCAGGAAAGUACAAGGUUCAAACCAGGUGUUUGCCUUCCCUGAGCUCCAGGAGGGCUCCCAUCUGGUCUCAACCAAGGGGCCCAGAGCCCUGAAGGACAGUUCACUCCCAUCCCCUUCCCUCUGUACCUCUCAAAUGCCGCCAAAAAGUCCAUUAGAUGAAUAACUGCAUUUCUUCACCCCGGGAAUGGGUUCUAUUUGGUGUCAAAAGCGAUCUCUGCCCAGGAACUGAGUUUGGGGUUCUCUCUCUCUCCCACUCUCUGCAACCAGCUAAGGGUCCAGCCUUCAAAAAUUAUUAUCAAAGAGUGGAGAAAGGAAAAAACACGUUAUGAAUGAGGUGAAACUGCUCUUCAAUGCAUCCGCUGGAAGCUGCCGGGAAACCUCCUGGCUGAGGACAUGGAUUUGCUUCCCACUUCCCACACCCCUCCUGCCUCCAGCGCCCGCUCCCAGCUCUGUGGCAAUUUCUGCUUUAAAUGCGCAGUAACAGUAAUUUCUGCCACACCUAGACGGCAAAGGACCCCAGUUUUUUCCUGUUCCCCCCACCCCAAGUGCCCAAGUCGCAGCUGCACUGGCUAUCUGCACAUGCUCAGGACCACAGGGUGAGGCACCCAAAAGCAUUCCCGACAAUGCCAUCUGCAGCUGUGGUGCACAUCCAGGCUCAAACAGAGACGCUGAGGAGUAAACAGAAAUCGCUUAGUCAGCAACUGUCCGGGAGCCCCAAGAGGUGACUGUAAAUAGCCUGGUACUGAGGAGGAGGGGCAGUCAGCUCGCACAGGGCUUUCUACAGAUGCCACCCCUGAUGGCUUUCAAAGGCACCAGCAUUUGUGUUCCUUGUUGGGUUAGGGAAGGUGUCCCCCGUGUUGGAGCUGUGUGGUCUUCGUCCUAGAAAAACACACUUGCUGACUCGGGGCAGAAUUAAUAUCAAUUGAAUUUAUUACAAGUUACUAAGCUCCAAGGCACAUUACAGUGUUCUGUUAACUACAGAAAUGUAUAAAGGACAAACAGAGCAGAUUCUCCAUGUCUAGCAUUUCGCUCUACUGUUCAAAAGCAUCCGUGCAUCAAUAAAGCAAAAACAAAACAACACGUGAAGAUCCAACACAUUCAGGUCAGUAGAAACAAACCAAAACAUUUUCCCUCACAAACUUGCAACAGAAAACACCCCCCCAACACCCCCCUUACCAUUUUGCAAAAACAGGAAAACAGAACAGAACAGAACAGAACAAAAUAAAGUGAAGACUUCAACACUUGGGGCUGUUUAGAAAGAAGCUCUCACCAUUUUAUAGCAUUUUUUUUUUUUUUUUUUUUUUUUUUAGGCAGCAACACUG